rnacentral:rRNA from 1 species
AUUGAACGCUGGCGGCAGGCCUAACACAUGCAAGUCGAACGGUAACAGGAAGAAGCUUGCUUCUUUGCUGACGAGUGGCGGACGGGUGAGUAAUGUCUGGGAAACUGCCUGAUGGAGGGGGAUAACUACUGGAAACGGUAGCUAAUACCGCAUAACGUCGCAAGACCAAAGAGGGGGACCUUCUGGCCUCUUGCCAUCGGAUGUGCCCAGAUGGGAUUAGCUAGUAGGUGGGGUAACGGCUCACCUAGGCGACGAUCCCUAGCUGGUCUGAGAGGAUGACCAGCCACACUGGAACUGAGACACGGUCCAGACUCCUACGGGAGGCAGCAGUGGGGAAUAUUGCACAAUGGGCGCAAGCCUGAUGCAGCCAUGCCGCGUGUAUGAAGAAGGCCUUCGGGUUGUAAAGUACUUUUGGCGGGGAGGAAGGGAGUAAAGUUAAUACCUUGGCUCAUUGACGUUACCCGCAGAAGAAGCACCGGCUAACUCCGUG